UUCUUCUUAUCUCAGCUCCUCAAUGGUGCUUUCAUUGGUGGGAGGUAUCGUAAGUACUCCUCUCCUUUGAUCUCUAUCAAGAUCUACGCAUAGAGAGCAGAGAGAGGAGUGUAGGAGUCAUACCUGCCAUAGUUGUUUGGCUUCAGACUCCGUGUCAAGGUGAAGCUCGCUUGUUGACAGUCGGUCUACUUGAUUCGGUCGGAGCUUCACUUUUCUUUUAUUUCUUCUUCUGACCUUUUCCGUCUGUUUGGCGUUGGUCAGAAGCAGCUUCAUCCGUGCGAAU
rnacentral:lncRNA from 1 species